rnacentral:rRNA from 1 species
UACGUAGGGUGCAAGCGUUGUCCGGAAUUAUUGGGCGUAAAGAGCUCGUAGGCGGUCUGUCACGUCGGCUGUGAAAACCCGGGGCUCAACCCCGGGCCCUGCAGUCGAUACGGGCAGACUAGAGUGCGGUAGGGGAGACUGGAAUUCCUGGUGUAGCGGUGAAAUGCGCAGAUAUCAGGAGGAACACCGGUGGCGAAGGCGGGUCUCUGGCCGUAACUGACGCUGAGGAGCGAAAGCGUGGGGAGCGAACAGG